UAAUACGGAGGGUGCAAGCGUUAUCCGGAUUCACUGGGUUUAAAGGGUGCGUAGGUGGGUUGGUAAGUCAGUGGUGAAAUCCCCGAGCUUAACUUGGGAACUGCCAUUGAUACUAUCAGUCUUGAAUACCGUGGAGGUUAGCGGAAUAUGUCAUGUAGCGGUGAAAUGCUUAGAUAUGACAUAGAACACCAAUUGCGAAGGCAGCUGGCUACACGAGUAUUGACACUGAGGCACGAAAGCGUGGGGAUCAAACAGG
rnacentral:rRNA from 1 species